rnacentral:rRNA from 1 species
GGAAUUUUGGGCAAUGGGCGAAAGCCUGACCCAGCAACGCCGCGUGCAGGAUGAAGGCCCUCGGGUCGUAAACCUCUGUCGGGAGGGAAGAAUGGUUGCCGUUCGAAUAGGGCGGGAACCUGACGGUACCUCCAAAGGAAGCACCGGCUAACUCCGUGCCAGCAGCCGGGGUAAUACGGAGGGCGCAAGCGUUGUUCGGAAUCAUUGGGCGUAAAGCGCGUGUAGGCGGCUUGGCAAGUCGGUUGUGAAAGCCCGGGGCCCAACCCCGGAAUUGCAUCUGAAACUGCCUCGCUAGAGUCCCGGAGAGGAAGGCAGAAUUCCCGGUGUAGGGGUGAAAUCCGUAGAUAUCGGGAGGAAUACCAGCGGCGAAGGCGGCCUUCUGGACGGUGACUGACGCUGAGACGCGAAAGCGUGGGGAGCAAA